rnacentral:rRNA from 1 species
UACAGAGGUCUCAAGCGUUGUUCGGAUUCAUUGGGCGUAAAGGGUGCGUAGGCGGCGCUGUAAGUCGGGUGUGAAAUCUUGGAGCUUAACUCCGAAACUGCAUUCGAUACUGCCGUGCUUGAGGACUGGAGAGGAGACUGGAAUUUACGGUGUAGCGGUGAAAUGCGUAGAUAUCGUAAGGAAGACCAGUGGCGAAGGCGGGUCUCUGGACAGUUCCUGACGCUGAGGCACGAAGGUCAGGGGAGCAAACGGG